rnacentral:lncRNA from 1 species
CAACAAUGGGAGUCAUUCAAUUAACUGUUUUGGAACCAAUGGAAGCUAGCAAACAGCAUCAGGAUACUUUCCGGGGUUUAUCCCGUAUGCUCAUAACGAUUUACAUUUCAUUUUAUAAUUAAUAUGACAAUUAUAUGGGUUUGAAGUAUUCUCUUUCUGUAUAGUUAUCAAAAAACAUGAUUUUAAUAAACAAGUCGAAAAUGAGA